GAUGAACGCUGGCGGCGUGCCUAAUACAUGCAAGUCGAGCGAACGGACGAGAAGCUUGCUUCUCUGAUGUUAGCGGCGGACGGGUGAGUAACACGUGGAUAACCUACCUAUAAGACUGGGAUAACUUCGGGAAACCGUAGCUAAUACCGGAUAAUAUUUUGAACCGCAUGGUUCAAAAGUGAAAGACGGUCUUGCUGUCACUUAUAGAUGGAUCCGCGCUGCAUUAGCUAGUUGGUAAGUUAACGGCUUACCAAGGCAACGAUGCAUAGACGACCUGAGAGGGUGAUCGGCCACACGGGAAGUGAGACACGGUCCAGACGCCUACGGGAGGCAGCAGAAGGGAAUCUUCCGCAAAGGGCGAAAGCCUGACGGAGCAACGCCGCGUGAGUGAUGAAGGUCUUCGGAUCGUAAAACUCUGUUAUUAGGGAAGAACAUAUGUGUAAGUAACUGUGCACAUCUUGACGGUACCUAAUCAGAAAGCCACGGCUAACUACGUG
rnacentral:rRNA from 1 species